rnacentral:tRNA from 1 species
UCCCCGGAGGACUAGUGGUUAGGCCACAGUGCUCUCACUGCUACCGCCCGAGUUUGAUUCCCGGCCAGGGAA